rnacentral:rRNA from 1 species
ACGCUGGCGGCGUGCCUAAUACAUGCAAGUAGAACGCUGAAGAGAGGAGCUUGCUCUUCUUGGAUGAGUUGCGAACGGGUGAGUAACGCGUAGGUAACCUGCCUUGUAGCGGGGGAUAACUAUUGGAAACGAUAGCUAAUACCGCAUAACAAUGGAUGACCCAUGUCAUUUAUUUGAAAGGGGCAAAUGCUCCACUACAAGAUGGACCUGCGUUGUAUUAGCUAGUAGGUGAGGUAACGGCUCACCUAGGCGACGAUACAUAGCCGACCUGAGAGGGUGAUCGGCCACACUGGGACUGAGACACGGCCCAGACUCCUACGGGAGGCAGCAGUAGGGAAUCUUCGGCAAUGGGGGCAACCCUGACCGAGCAACGCCGCGUGAGUGAAGAAGGUUUUCGGAUCGUAAAGCUCUGUUGUAAGUCAAGAACGAGUGUGAGAGUGGAAAGUUCACACUGUGACGGUAGCUUACCAGAAAGGGACGGCUAACUACGUGCCAGCAGCCGCGGUAAUACGUAGGUCCCGAGCGUUGUCCGGAUUUAUUGGGCGUAAAGCGAGCGCAGGCGGUUUGAUAAGUCUGAAGUUAAAGGCUGUGGCUCAACCAUAGUUCGCUUUGGAAACUGUCAAACUUGAGUGCAGAAGGGGAGAGUGGAAUUCCAUGUGUAGCGGUGAAAUGCGUAGAUAUAUGGAGGAACACCGGUGGCGAAAGCGGCUCUCUGGUCUGUAACUGACGCUGAGGCUCGAAAGCGUGGGGAGCGAACAGGAUUAGAUACCCUGGUAGUCCACGCCGUAAACGAUGAGUGCUAGGUGUUGGAUCCUUUCCGGGAUUCAGUGCCGCAGCUAACGCAUUAAGCACUCCGCCUGGGGAGUACGACCGCAAGGUUGAAACUCAAAGGAAUUGACGGGGGCCCGCAC